rnacentral:lncRNA from 10 species
CAGAUGGUUCUGGCUCUGGCCAUCAUGAAAUGUUUUACUUGGCUCCUGUGUUCCUUUGAUUCUGUCAUUAUCUUGGUUUUAGGGAUUUCUCCAAUCAACCCUGGUUCUUUUACUGGAGAAUGGCAUUAGAAACCAAGAUCAGGGCAUUUGGUGUGCUCCUGGUGACUACGGUGUGGCUGCUUCUAGCCCCUCGAAGCUGACAGAGCAAGGAAAAAUGUGUACGGUAUAAGUGAGCAACUUGAUUUUUAUAUAUCCAGUGUUUAAAUUAUUUCUAAAAUUGGACUAUGGUACUUAAUGGUAUAUAUUCUGGGGGCUGGGCACAAUGUUAUCCCAGCACUUUGGGAGGACAAGGUGGAAAAAUCACUUGAAGCCAGAAGUUUGAGACCAGCCUGCACAACAUAGCGAGACUCUAUCUCUACAAAAAAUUUUAAAAUGAGCUGAGCAUGGUGGUGCAUGACUGUGGUCCAUGCUAUUUGGGAGGCUGAGGCAGAAGGAUCCCUUGAGCCCAGGAGUUAGAAGAUGCAGUGAGCUCUGAUCAUGCCACUGCCCUCCAGCCUUGGUGACAGAGUGAUACUCCAUCUCUAAAAAAAAAUUGGAAGGUGCAGCAUCUGUAACAUUUCACUGAUUAUAAGAACUUCAUAAAAUUUAUUUUAAAUGAUCUGACUUCAAACACAUAGUCAUAUCAAAUCAGACUCUGUACUCAACUGUGCCCUAUGUCCUCUCUUAGGACUGGACAGUCAUGCUUUGCCUUCUCAGCCAAAGUAAAAUUCUGUGUCCAGCCAGACCGCCAAAGAUGCCUUGGGUUUCUUUUAUAAAUUCAGGUAGACAAAUUAAAUAAUCUCUAAAGUCCUUUCAAAGUCCUCCUAUAUUAUACAAUAUUAUGAUAAAA